rnacentral:rRNA from 1 species
AGAGUUUGAUCCUGGCUCAGAUUGAACGCUGGCGGCAUGCUUUACACAUGCAAGUCGAACGGCAGCACGAGGGAGCUUGCUCCCGGGUGGCGAGUGGCGCACGGGUGAGUAAUACAUCGGAACGUGUCCUGUUGUGGGGGAUAACUGCUCGAAAGGGUGGCUAAUACCGCAUGAGACCUGAGGGUGAAAGCGGGGGAUCGUAAGACCUCGCGCAAUUGGAGCGGCCGAUGGCCCGAUUAGCUAGUUGGUGAGGUAAAGGCUCACCAAGGCGACGAUCGGUAGCUGGUCUGAGAGGACGACCAGCCACACUGGGACUGAGACACGGCCCAGACUCCUACGGGAGGCAGCA